rnacentral:tRNA from 1 species
GCCAGUAUGUGAGAGUAUGUGCUGUANCAGAUUCCUAAUCUGUAGGUCACAGGUUCAAAUCCUGUCGGGGUCGCCA